GAUGAACGCUGGCGGCGUGCUUAACACAUGCAAGUCGAACGAAGCACUUUUGAUGCUUGCAUUAAAAGUGACUGAGUGGCGGACGGGUGAGUAACGCGUGGGUAACCUACCUCAUACAGGGGGAUAACAGUUAGAAAUGACUGCUAAUACCGCAUAAGCCUCCGCUACCGCAUGGUAGAGAAGGAAAAGUUUUAUCGGUAUGAGAUGGGCCCGCGUCUGAUUAGCUAGUUGGUGGGGUAAAGGCCUACCAAGGCGACGAUCAGUAGCCGGCUUGAGAGAGUGAACGGCCACAUUGGAACUGAGACACGGUCCAAACUCCUACGGGAGGCAGCAGUGGGGAAUAUUGCACAAUGGGGGAAACCCUGAUGCAGCGACGCCGCGUGAGUGAAGAAGUAUUUCGGUAUGUAAAGCUCUAUCAGCAGGGAAGAACAUGACGGUACCUGACUAAGAAGCCCCGGCUAACUACGUGCCAGCAGCCGCAGUAACAC
rnacentral:rRNA from 1 species